AGUCGUAACAAGGUCUCCGUAGGUGAACCUGCGGAGGGAUCAUUACACAAAUAUGAAGGCGGGCUGGAACCUCUCGGGGUUACAGCCUUGCUGAAUUAUUCACCCUUGUCUUUUGCGUACUUCUUGUUUCCUUGGUGGGUUCGCCCACCACUAGGACAAACAUAAACCUUUUGUAAUUGCAAUCAGCGUCAGUAACAAAUUAAUAAUUACAACUUUCAACAACGGAUCUCUUGGUUCUGGCAUCGAUGAAGAACGCAGCGAAAUGCGAUAAGUAGUGUGAAUUGCAGAAUUCAGUGAAUCAUCGAAUCUUUGAACGCACAUUGCGCCCUUUGGUAUUCCAAAGGGCAUGCCUGUUCGAGCGUCAUUUGUACCCUCAAGCUUUGCUUGGUGUUGGGCGUCUUGUCUCUAGCUUUGCUGGAGACUCGCCUUAAAGUAAUUGGCAGCCGGCCUACUGGUUUCGGAGCGCAGCACAAGUCGCACUCUCUAUCAGCAAAGGUCUAGCAUCCAUUAAGCCUUUUUUUCAACUUUUGACCUCGGAUCAGGUAGGGAUACCCGCUGAACUUAAGCAUAUCAAUAAAAAGUCG
rnacentral:rRNA from 1 species